rnacentral:rRNA from 1 species
UACAUGGGGUGCAAGCGUUGCUCGGAAUUAUUGGGCGUAAAGCGCGCGUAGGCGGUUACUUAAGUCGGAUGUGAAAGCCCUCGGCUUAACUGAGGAAGUGCACCCGAAACUGAGUAGCUAGAGUACGAAAGAGGGUCGCGGAAUUCCCGGUGUAGAGGUGAAAUUCGUAGAUAUCGGGAGGAACACCGGUGGCGAGGGCGGCGACCUGGGUCGAGACUGACGCUGAGGCGCGAAAGCGUGGGGAGCAAACAGG